rnacentral:rRNA from 1 species
UACGUAAGGUGCAAGCGUUGUCCGGAAUUAUUGGGCGUAAAGAGCUCGUAGGCGGUUUGUCGCGUCUGCUGUGAAAACUCGGGGCUUAACUCCGGGCUUGCAGUGGGUACGGGCAGACUAGAGUGCGGUAGGGGAGACUGGAAUUCCUGGUGUAGCGGUGAAAUGCGCCAGAUAUCGGGAGGAACACCGGUGGCGAAGGCGGUUCUCUGGGCCGUU